rnacentral:tRNA from 1 species
GCAGGUGUGGCUCAGCUGGUAGAGCACCCCCUUGGUAAGGGGGAGGUCGCGGGUUCAAGUCCCGCCACUUGCACCA